UGAAAAGCUCAGAGAGAAAAGGAAGCAGGUUCAGGCUUCAGAAUACAAAAAAAUCGACCACCUUGAUCCAUCAUGAUCCCCAAGUGUUGUAGCGUCAAUUAGGAGGAGCACAACAAAGCAGUUUCCGUGUCAGUUCCUGAAAGGCCAAUGAAUGGAGCACUAGUACACAGGUAGAACUUCCAAACUUUCCAUUCCAAUCGAAUGUGGUUAGGCACGCUACCGACUGAGGGCGCACUCACAUUAGGCAGUGUAACUGGAAAAGAUUGUCAGCUCGAAAGCCACGUCCCGUUUACCUUGUAUUCAUGGAUCGGAACCCUGCCUGGUAUUUAAACUCCUCUGGCAUCUUCAAUCUCCAGCGUAUCAUAAUCCAUGUUCACGGGGUACACGGGGUACCUGUAGACAUUUCGACAACUGUCAG